rnacentral:tRNA from 1 species
GCUGGCGUAGCUCAGUGGUAGAGCAGCUGAUUUGUAAUCAGCCGGUCGGGGGUUCGAGUCCCUUCGCCAGCUCCA